rnacentral:rRNA from 1 species
GAUGAACGCUGGCGGCGUGCUUAACACAUGCAAGUCGAACGAAGCACUUAUGACAGAUUCUUCGGAUGAUGGAUUAAGUGACUGAGUGGCGGACGGGUGAGUAACGCGUGGGUAACCUGCCUCAUACAGGGGGAUAACAGUUAGGAAUGACUGCUAAUACCGCAUAAGCGCACAAUACCGCAUGGUAUGGUGUGAAAAACUCCGGUGGUAUGAGAUGGACCCGCGUCUGAUUAGCUAGUUGGUGGGUAACGGCCUACCAAGGCGACGAUCAGUAGCCGGCCUGAGAGGGUGAACGGCCACAUUGGGACUGAGACACGGGCCCAAAACUCCUACGGGAGCAGCAGUGGGGAAUAUUGCACAAUGGGGGAAACCCUGAUGCAGCGACGCCGCGUGAGUGAAGAAGUAUUUCGGUAUGUAAAGCUCUAUCAGCAGGGAAGAAAAUGACGGUACCUGACUAAGAAGCACCGGCUAAAUACGUGCC